UGGGGAAUAUUGCACAAUGGAGGGAACUCUGAUGCAGCGACGCCGCGUGAACGAAGAAGGCUUUCGAGUCGUAAAGUUCUUUUAUAUGGGAAGAUAAUGACGGUACCAUAAGAAAAAGCCCCGGCUAACUACGUGCCAGCAGCCGCGGUAAUACGUAGGGGGCUAGCGUUGUCCGGAAUCACUGGGGGUAAAGGGUUCGCAGGCUGAAAUGCAAGACAGGUGUAAAAGGCAGUAGCUUAACUACUGUAAGCAUUUGAAACUGCAUAUCUUGAGAAGAGUAGAGGUAAGUGGAAUUUUUAGUGUAGCGGUGAAAUGCGUAGAUAUUAAAAAGAAUACCGGUGGCGAAGGCGACUUACUGGGCUCAUUCUGACGCUGAGGAACGAAAGCGUGGGUAGCAAACAGG
rnacentral:rRNA from 1 species